CUACGGGGGGCAGCAGUGAGGAAUAUUGCACAAUGGGGGGAACCCUGAUGCAGCAACGCCGCGUGGAGGAUGACGCAUUUCGGUGUGUAAACUCCUUUUAUAUGUCAAGAAAAUGACGGUAGCAUAUGAAUAAGCACCGGCUAACUCCGUGCCAGCAGCCGCGGUAAUACGGAGGGUGCAAGCGUUACUCGGAAUCACUGGGCGUAAAGGACGCGUAGGCGGGUUGGAAAGUCAGGUGUGAAAUCCUACAGCUUAACUGUAGAACUGCACUUGAAACUUCUACUCUAGAGUAUGGGAGGGGGGGAUGGAAUUAGUGGUGUAGGGGUAAAAUCCGUAGAUAUCACUAGGAAUACCUAAAGCGAAGGCGAUCUCCUGGAACAUUACUGACGCUAAGGCGUGAAAGCGUGGGGAUCAAACAGGAUUAGAUACCCGAGUAGUC
rnacentral:rRNA from 1 species